GAGACAGGGUUUCACCAUGUCUGCCAGGCCGGUCUUGAACUUUUGACCUCAGGUGAUGUGCCUGCUUUGGCCUCCCAGAGUAUUGGAAUUGCAGGUAUGAACCACCGUGCACGGCCAGAAGGGACCUUUAAACCCCUAGAGUGCACACAGGUCUUUGCAGCUGGGAGAACUGAAGCCCAGAGAGGCCAAGUAGCUUGCUCUAGGGCACACAGCAUUAGAAGCAGGAUGGGAAACAGCUCUUUCCACCAUCUGGUCUUUUAAUAUAGUUUUGUUUGUUUUCACUAAUAGUUAUUGAGUGUCUACUGCGUGUGAGACCUUGGAGACACAGAUAUGGAUGAGUUGCAAGGAGUCCCUGUGCCCUUGAAGCCUCGCCAUCUAAUCUAAUGUUGUCCAAUUUAACUUUCUGGGUGAUAGAAUCAUUCCAUGUGGUACCAACAAACCACUUGUGACUUCUGUGAUUGAAAUGUGCCUGGUAACUGAUAAUGCAACUGAGGCACAUUAUCUCAUUUAAAUUAACUUUAUCUCAUUUAUAUUAAUUUCAACUUAAGCAUCCACAUUUGGCCAGUGGCAGCUGUGUGUUGGAUAUUGUAAGUCUAAUCUAUGGUCACAUGACCACACACACACACACACACACACUGAUAUGGUUUGGCUCUAUCCCCACUCAAAUCUCAUCUUGGAUUGUAGUUCCCAUAAUCCCCAUGUGUCGUGGGAGAGAGCUGGUGGAAGGUGAUUUAAUCAUGGGGGCAUUCACCCUCAUGCUGUUCUCAUGAUAGUGAGUGAGUUCUCAUUAGAUCUGAUGGUUUUAUAAGGGGCUUUUCCCUCUUUGGCUUGGCACUUCUCUGUCCUGCCCCUCCUUAAAGAAGGACAUGUUUAUUUCCUCCUCCACCAUGAUUGUAAGUUUCCUGAGGCCUUCCCAGCCCUGCAGAACUGAGAGUCAAUUAAAUCUCUUUAUAAACUACCCAGUCUUGGGUAAGUCUUUAUUAGCAGGAUGAGAACAGACUAAUACACACACAGUCAUGAACUGUGAGAGAUCAGAGCCACUACACUGUGGGUCCUCAAGAUCACUGACAGGUUCCAUGAAUGAUUUCAAAUCCUUUGCUAGAAGGACCCCAAGAACUCAGAAGACCUGUUAUCCUCAUGAUUAUGGUUUAUUACAACAGAAGGAUUCAGAUUAAAAACUGCAAAAUAAAAGGUACAUAGGGCAGGGUCCAGAAUAGGCUUCCAGUUGUCCUCUCCCAGUGGAAUCCUACAAACAUGCCUAAUUCUCCCACCAAUGUUGUGUGACAACAUGUAUAGAGUGUUGCUACCUGUGGAAACUCACCUGAGCCUUGGUGUUCAGGGUUUUAAUUGGAAGUCGGUCACAUAGCUGUGGAGUUACCACAUGACUGACCUUACUUAGUCACCAGCCCCUGCAGAAGUCAAUGUGAUUAAAGUCUCCCACCAUAAUUACAUGGUUACCUAGACUGUCUGGCCUGGUUUAGCCCAAGUACCCAGCUAUAAAAAGACUGAGUUAGGGAGAAUACUGCAAGAGCUUAGGGUUAAUCUCCCAGGAGUCAAUCAGGUUCUUUCUUUGGAGCACGCAUGGGUUUGAACAUCCUAAGUCUGCUCAGUUAGCCCUUUAAUGCACACUAGAAAUCUGUUAGGGAGAAUAACAGGGGCCUCGAAGCUUGGAGAUGUAGAGAAGGUAUUGCUUGUUGCUGACCAUUUCGUCUGAAGCUCCGGAAGGAUCUACAUGAAUACUUCACAUUGAGGGAAGCUGAACUGGAACUCUACUGACGAAGGAGCUGGGCAGCCACGCCUGGAUCUGUCAAGGAAACACACCCGCUGACUACUCGGGAAUCCUGCCCUGGGGAUGUGACACUCGCAAAAGGAGUUCAAACUUAAUAACCUUCCAGAGUUGGUAUCAAAUUCAGACGCUGACACUCCUCGGAGAGGUUCUUUGAGGCAACAGGAUGGAAAGGAUCACUUUGCUUUUGUUUCUCUCCUGCUGCUCUGUCUGGAAGCCAUGUGAGGAGGACGUCUGAGUAGCUCUGUGGAGAGGCUCCCAACCAACAGCCAGCAUGAACUUGCUGGUCAUGUGAGCACACCGCCUUGGCAGUGGAGCCUCCAGCCCCAGUCAAGCCAUCAGCUGAGACUACAGCCCUGGCUUGUAUCUGACCACAGCCUCAUGAACAACCCAGAGCUAGGCCACCAAGAAUCCCAGAGAGAAGAACUGGAAAAACAGCUCUCUCAGGAUGACACAGGGCACACAGAACCAGUCUGAGAGGCUGCAGCCACAGUUCUAGGGAUCUGUGUGAGGUCCUGCCUGAGACUUGUGUCCCGUGGAGAUCCCAGGUAGAGGAGCUUGAACACCUCAGCCAGGCAAUCCCUUCUGAGCCUUCAGCUGGCGCAGGAGUUGUCCCAGGAUGCAGCAGGAUAGUUUACACUUGACCUUACAGCACAGCCCCAUUCCGAUGAGCUACCUUUCGGGCGCUCAGUAGCUAUCGUAGCUUGCAGCUACUGUAUCGGACAGUGCAGCUCUAUAAAUGAGGACGUGCUCAGAAGGUACCUGCUAUAUCUCAUGCUCUGGAAAUACCAAGAUGAACCAUGCAGACCCUGACCCCAUGGAGUUGAGAGUCUAGUGGGAGAAGACAGACAUCAUCAAAUGCUGGCACAAAUAAAGGCAUGUUUGCCUGAGGGGUUACAUGUUACGUCAGGGAGGCACUUCUACGGGAGCAGGGCCCGAGCUCGGUCUGGGGUUGGCCAGGAAGGACUUUCCUGCAGAAGUAACGUUUGCUCUCAGGACCAAAAGAUGACCAGGUGAAGAGUCACCUCACUCCUUGAAACCUCAGUUUCCUUCUUUGUAAUGUGGGAUGAUAGUGACACCUACAUUCCAGGAUAUUUGUGAGGCUGAACCAAGAUGGCACAGGUGAAGAUGAGUAACACGAAGUCUGGUACAUAGUGAAUGCCUGGCGUAUCGUGGCUUCAUUCAUAGUCCCUUGAUGUAUGGUGAAGUUCCUAUGGAUUGGAAAGCUCAUUGUUGUCUCAGAAACUGCUGCCCAAGGGACAAAGAAGAAUGCAAGCCCACCAUGUGAAAUGCACGCAGAAGAGGAAGGGUCUCACUCUGCUCUCUCUCUCUCUCUCUCUCUCUCUCCAUCCUGAGGACCCUUUUAAUUGCUUAGGUUUUCUUCUAGGGGUUUUAUGGUGU